GAAUGCGUUAAAAUGGAAUCAAUGACUCUUGACUUUUUAACGCUAUAACACUAAAGGAGUUAAUUCACUGACUCCGCCCCCAGAACCACAGGUUCCCACCGAAGAGACAGAAGCCAACAGAACAAUUUGCUAUCCACAUGUCUGAGUUGGCCCUACGACAGACUGGCGACCUGUCCAGGGUGAACCCCGCCCCUCGCCCGGAACGUUAGCUGGACAUAGGCACCAGCACCUCCCGACCCCCCACAGGGUGUAAAGAAAAUGGAUGGAUGUCUGAGUUGUUCACCAAACUUUUUCCACCAGCAGAUGGAGAGCGUGUUUUCCGCUCCCCGCUGUGGACUUCUGCUAACAGCGGGGUGGAGUUGUUGGGAUGCGAACUUUUCUGAAAACUACUCCCUUCAUUCUUGACUUUCACAAACUCAUCGGCAGCCUGGAGUAAAGACUCCUCAGCGUCUUCCAGGAAAAACGGGCACCUCUCUGGAAGAUGAGGGUCUUCAUCUAGCAGCUUUAGGACUGUGGAGUCCUGUCAGGGCCCAGGAGCCGGAGUUUGGAGAUGUGUGCACGGAGGGCAGCUGCUACCCCGCCACGGGUGACCUGCUGAUCGGCAGGGCGCACAAACUCGCCGCCUCCUCCACCUGCGGCCUCCAGGAGCYCAAGCGCUUCUGCAUUGUCGGACACCUGGAAGUAAUAAGUCUCUUAUUUAAAUUCAUGCACCUUAUAAAACGACACAAGACAUG